rnacentral:rRNA from 1 species
GGGUUGUGAGGUUAAGCGACUAAGCGUACACGGUGGAUGCCCUGGCAGUCAGAGGCGAUGAAGGACGUGCUAAUCUGCGAUAAGCGUCGGUAAGGUGAUAUGAACCGUUAUAACCGGCGAUUUCCGAAUGGGGAAACCCAGUGUGAUUCGUCACACUAUCAUUAACUGAAUCCAUAGGUUAAUGAGGCGAACCGGGGGAACUGAAACAUCUAAGUACCCCGAGGAAAAGAAAUCAACCGAGAUUCCCCCAGUAGCGGCGAGCGAACGGGGAGCAGCCCAGAGCCUGAAUCAGUGUGUGUGUUAGUGGAAGCGUCUGGAAAGGCGCGCGAUACAGGGUGACAGCCCCGUACACAAAAAUGCACAUACUGUGAGCUCGAUGAGUAGGGCGGGACACGUGGUAUCCUGUCUGAAUAUGGGGGGACCAUCCUCCAAGGCUAAAUACUCCUGACUGACCGAUAGUGAACCAGUACCGUGAGGGAAAGGCGAAAAGAACCCCGGCGAGGGGAGUGAAAAAGAACCUGAAACCGUGUACGUACAAGCAGUGGGAGCCUCUUAAUGGGGUGACUGCGUACCUUUUGUAUAAUGGGUCAGCGACUUAUAUUCUGUAGCAAGGUUAACCGAAUAGGGGAGCCGAAGGGAAACCGAGUCUUAACUGGGCGUUAAGUUGCAGGGUAUAGACCCGAAACCCGGUGAUCUAGCCAUGGGCAGGUUGAAGGUUGGGUAACACUAACUGGAGGACCGAACCGACUAAUGUUGAAAAAUUAGCGGAUGACUUGUGGCUGGGGGUGAAAGGCCAAUCAAACCGGGAGAUAGCUGGUUCUCCCCGAAAGCUAUUUAGGUAGCGCCUCGUGAAUUCAUCUCCGGGGGUAGAGCACUGUUUCGGCAAGGGGGUCAUCCCGACUUACCAACCCGAUGCAAACUGCGAAUACCGGAGAAUGUUAUCACGGGAGACACACGGCGGGUGCUAACGUCCGUCGUGAAGAGGGAAACAACCCAGACCGCCAGCUAAGGUCCCAAAGUCAUGGUUAAGUGGGAAACGAUGUGGGAAGGCCCAGACAGCCAGGAUGUUGGCUUAGAAGCAGCCAUCAUUUAAAGAAAGCGUAAUAGCUCACUGGUCGAGUCGGCCUGCGCGGAAGAUGUAACGGGGCUAAACCAUGCACCGAAGCUGCGGCAGCGACGCUUAUGCGUUGUUGGGUAGGGGAGCGUUCUGUAAGCCUGUGAAGGUGUACUGUGAGGUAUGCUGGAGGUAUCAGAAGUGCGAAUGCUGACAUAAGUAACGAUAAAGCGGGUGAAAAGCCCGCUCGCCGGAAGACCAAGGGUUCCUGUCCAACGUUAAUCGGGGCAGGGUGAGUCGACCCCUAAGGCGAGGCCGAAAGGCGUAGUCGAUGGGAAACAGGUUAAUAUUCCUGUACUUGGUGUUACUGCGAAGGGGGACGGAGAAGGCUAUGUUGGCCGGGCGACGGUUGUCCCGGUUUAAGCGUGUAGGCUGGUUUUCCAGGCAAAUCCGGAAAAUCAAGGCUGAGGCGUGAUGACGAGGCACUACGGUGCUGAAGCAACAAAUGCCCUGCUUCCAGGAAAAGCCUCUAAGCAUCAGGUAACAUCAAAUCGUACCCCAAACCGACACAGGUGGUCAGGUAGAGAAUACCAAGGCGCUUGAGAGAACUCGGGUGAAGGAACUAGGCAAAAUGGUGCCGUAACUUCGGGAGAAGGCACGCUGAUAUGUAGGUGAAGCGACUUGCUCGUGGAGCUGAAAUCAGUCGAAGAUACCAGCUGGCUGCAACUGUUUAUUAAAAACACAGCACUGUGCAAACACGAAAGUGGACGUAUACGGUGUGACGCCUGCCCGGUGCCGGAAGGUUAAUUGAUGGGGUCAGCGCAAGCGAAGCUCUUGAUCGAAGCCCCGGUAAACGGCGGCCGUAACUAUAACGGUCCUAAGGUAGCGAAAUUCCUUGUCGGGUAAGUUCCGACCUGCACGAAUGGCGUAAUGAUGGCCAGGCUGUCUCCACCCGAGACUCAGUGAAAUUGAACUCGCUGUGAAGAUGCAGUGUACCCGCGGCAAGACGGAAAGACCCCGUGAACCUUUACUAUAGCUUGACACUGAACAUUGAGCCUUGAUGUGUAGGAUAGGUGGGAGGCUUUGAAGUGUGGACGCCAGUCUGCAUGGAGCCGGCCUUGAAAUACCACCCUUUAAUGUUUGAUGUUCUAACGUUGGCCCGUAAUCCGGGUUGCGGACAGUGUCUGGUGGGUAGUUUGACUGGGGCGGUCUCCUCCUAAAGAGUAACGGAGGAGCACGAAGGUUGGCUAAUCCUGGUCGGACAUCAGGAGGUUAGUGCAAUGGCAUAAGCCAGCUUGACUGCGAGCGUGACGGCGCGAGCAGGUGCGAAAGCAGGUCAUAGUGAUCCGGUGGUUCUGAAUGGAAGGGCCAUCGCUCAACGGAUAAAAGGUACUCCGGGGAUAACAGGCUGAUACCGCCCAAGAGUUCAUAUCGACGGCGGUGUUUGGCACCUCGAUGUCGGCUCAUCACAUCCUGGGGCUGAAGUAGGUCCCAAGGGUAUGGCUGUUCGCCAUUUAAAGUGGUACGCGAGCUGGGUUUAGAACGUCGUGAGACAGUUCGGUCCCUAUCUGCCGUGGGCGCUGGAGAACUGAGGGGGGCUGCUCCUAGUACGAGAGGACCGGAGUGGACGCAUCACUGGUGUUCGGGUUGUCAUGCCAAUGGCACUGCCCGGUAGCUAAAUGCGGAAGAGAUAAGUGCUGAAAGCAUCUAAGCACGAAACUUGCCCCGAGAUGAGUUCUCCCUGACCCUUUAAGGGUCCUGAAGGAACGUUGAAGACGACGACGUUGAUAGGCCGGGUGUGUAAGCGCAGCGAUGCGUUGAGCUAACCGGUACUAAUGAACCGUGAGGCUUAACCUUACAACGCCGAAG